UACAGAGGUCUCAAGCGUUGUUCGGAUUCAUUGGGCGUAAAGGGUGCGUAGGUGGCGGGGUAAGUCAGGUGUGAAAUUUCGGAGCUUAACUCCGAAACUGCAUUUGAUACUGCCUUGCUUGAGGACUGGAGAGGAGACUGGAAUUCACGGUGUAGCAGUGAAAUGCGUAGAUAUCGUGAGGAAGACCAGUGGCGAAGGCGGGUCUCUGGACAGUUCCUGACACUGAGGCACGAAGGCCAGGGGAGCAAACGGG
rnacentral:rRNA from 1 species